rnacentral:rRNA from 1 species
AUUGAACGCUGGCGGCAGGCCUAACACAUGCAAGUCGAACGAGUGGCGGACGGGUGAGUAAUGUCUGGGAAACUGCCUGAUGGAGGGGGAUAACUACUGGAAACGGUAGCUAAUACCGCAUACCAUCGGAUGUGCCCAGAUGGGAUUAGCUAGUAGGUGGGGUAACGGCUCACCUAGGCGACGAUCCCUAGCUGGUCUGAGAGGAUGACAAGAAACACUGGAGCUGAGACACGGUCCAGACGCUUACGGGAGGCAGCAGUGGGGAAUAGUGCACAAUGGGCGAAAGCCUGAGGCAGCCAUGCCGGGUGUAUGAAGAAGGCCUUCGGGUUGUAAAGUAUUUUCAGCGGGGAGGCGGUACCGGCAGAAGAAGCACCGGCUAACUCCGUGCCAGCAGCCGCGGUAAUUC